GAUGAACGCUGGCGGCGUGCCUAAUACAUGCAAGUCGAGCGAACAGACGAGGAGCUUACUCCUCUGACGUUAGCGGCGGACGGGUGAGUAACACGUGGAUAACCUACCUAUAAGACUGGGAUAACUUCGGGAAACCGGAGCUAAUACCGGAUAACAUGUUGAACCGCAUGGUUCAACAGUGAAAGACGGUCUUGCUGUCACUUAUAGAUGGAUCCGCGUCGCAUUAGCUAGUUGGUAAGGUAACGGCUUACCAAGGCAACGAUGCGUAGCCGACCUGAGAGGGUGAUCGGCCACACUGGAGCUGAGACACGGUCAAGACUCCUACGGGAGGCAGCAGUAGGGAAUCUUCCGCAAUGGGCGAAAGCCUGACGGAGCAACGCCGCGUGAGUGAAGAAGGUCUUCGGAUCGUAAAACUCUGUUAUUAGGGAAGAACAAAUGUGUAAGUAACUAUGCACGUCUUGACGGUACCUAAUCAGAAAGCCACGGCUAACUACGUG
rnacentral:rRNA from 1 species